UACAAAAAUAUCCUGAAAAAA
rnacentral:piRNA from 1 species